AUGUUAGCGGCGGACGGGUGAGUAACACGUGGGUAACCUACCUAUAAGACUGGGAUAACUCCGGGAAACCGGGGCUAAUACCGGAUAAUAUUUUGAACCGCAUGGUUCGAUAGUGAAAGACGGUUUCGGCUGUCACUUAUAGAUGGACCCGCGCCGUAUUAGCUAGUUGGUAAGGUAACGGCUUACCAAGGCGACGAUACGUAGCCGACCUGAGAGGGUGAUCGGCCACACUGGAACUGAGACACGGUCCAGACUCCUACGGGAGGCAGCAGUC
rnacentral:rRNA from 1 species